AUAUAGGGAAAUGGGGAUUUAGGUGAGUUUUACAAACUCAGAAAGAUAGAUGGAAAUAAUGCAACAUAGAUAAGUUUAAAAAACUUCAUUAAUGCAUAGUUAGAAAACAAUAUUUAAAAACAAAUCCGAUCCAAUUUCAUUGCCAAGUCAAAUAGUCAAUAUUUCCAUCCAAAUCAAAUAUUCAUCUUACUAAAAAUGUCACAAGGGUAGUCAAUACCCUAUUUAAUGAGUUUACACAACUCAUGCACACAGGACAAGACUCGUCUUUUGGCUCAAAUUUAAUUACAAAUUGGUUAUUUUAAAUUAUGUUUCACUAAUUAUAAACCUACGCAUGCAGCCACCUACCCCUAUUUCCAACGAGGGCAAACGAGAUACCAUCUAGUCAUGGGUGGGUGUGCAAAUAUUUAUAAACAUACAUUCACAGAUAACAAAUACAAAUGAAAUACUCUUAAGUCUCUCUAUGUUUCCAUCAUUCAUGCCCUUAAGCUCUAAAACAUGAAUAUCAAAUCACCCAGAGUCCCUCAGGACAACUGAGCAACAUGUUCCAUGAAGAAACCAAAACUAGCACCCAUAACCUAGUGGCUCUAGAACAAAUAAUCAAAUCAAAUACCCCCUCGAAGAAAAUAUGGUGAAUAGGAUUUAAGUCAUACUCUAUGUUUAAGUUUUUAACUUUUAAUUUUAUUUAUGUAGUUUAGAGUUUUAAACUAAUUCUAGAAACUAAAAUUUUAUUUAGUUUUAUUCUUU
rnacentral:lncRNA from 1 species